rnacentral:misc_RNA from 1 species
GAAAUGCGAUAAGUAGUGUGAAUUGCAGAAUUCAGUGAAUCAUCGAAUCUUUGAACGCACAUUGCGCCUUCUGGUAUUCCGGGAGGCAUGCCUGUUCGAGCGUCAUCAAAAACCUCAAUCUCUGAUUUAUCAUUGGUUGGUCUUGCCUUGGAGGCGUCAGCUUCCUCUGCGAAAUACAAUGGCGAUGAGCCACGCAACCAAAGCGUAGUAAUUUAUUCUCGUGAUGGAAACGUGAGCGCAUCCGCCGCAACCCCCCAUUCUAAGUUUUUGACCUCGGAUCAGGUAGGGAUACCCGCUGAACUUAA